rnacentral:lncRNA from 1 species
AUAAAUGAUAAAAUUGAGAAUGGAAAUGGGGAAUGUGUCAAAGAGACAACAACCCGACCAAAUAAAAAACAACAGCAGAGGGUCACCAAAAGGUCUUCAAUGUAGCGAGAAAUUCCCGCACCCGGAGGCGUCCUUCAGCUGGCCCCUAAACAAAUAUAUACUAGUCCAGUGAUAAUGAACGCCAUACUAAUGCCAAAUUGUACACAAGAAACUAAAACUAAAAUAAUACAAGACUAACAAAGGCCAGAGGUUCCUGACUUGGGACAGGCGCAAAAAUGCGGCGGGGUUAAACAUGUUUGUGAGAUCUCAACCCUCCCCCUAUACCUCUAACCAAUGUAGAAAAGUAAAUGCAUAACAAUACGCACA